UACGGGGGGGGCAAGCGUUGUUCGGAAUUACUGGGCGUAAAGGGCGCGUAGGCGGCCUUCUAAGUCGGACGUGAAAUCCCUCGGCUUAACCGAGGAACUGCGUCCGAGACUGAAAGGCUUGAAUCCGGGAGAGGGAUGUGGAAUUCCAGGUGUAGCGGUGAAAUGCGUAGAUAUCUGGAGGAACACCGGUGGCGAAGGCGGCAUCCUGGACCGGCAUUGACACUGAGGCGCGAAAGCUAGGGGAGCAAACGGG
rnacentral:rRNA from 1 species